rnacentral:rRNA from 1 species
GAUGAACGCUGGCGGCGUGCUUAACACAUGCAAGUCGAACGAAGCAUUGAGAACAGUUUACUUCGGUUUGAAGUUGUUUAUGACUGAGUGGCGGACGGGUGAGUAACGCGUGGGUAGCGUGCCUUGAACUGGGGGAUAGCAGCUGGAAACGGCAGGUAAUACCGCAUAAGCGCACAAUGUUGCAUGACAUGUUGUGAAAAAGUGCGGUGGAAUAAGAUGGACUUGCGUCUGAUUAGCUAGGUGGUUAGAUAACAGCCCACCAAGGCGACGAUCCGUAGCCGAGCUGGGAGGGUGACCGGCCACAUUGGGGCUGAGACACGGCCGGGACUCCUACGGGAGGCAGCAGUGGGGAAUAUUGCACAAUGGAGGAAACUCUGAUGCAGCGACGCCGCGUAAGUGAAGAAGUAAUUCGUUAUGUGAAGCUCUAUCAGCAGGGAAGAUAGUGAUGGUACCUGACUAAGAAGCGCCGGCUAAAUACGUG